rnacentral:piRNA from 1 species
UAGAAAAGUUUGAGAAGGAUUGGUGUUC